GCAUCAACAUUUUGUUAUUUGUUCAUGCAUGUAUUCUUGACCAUUAUUUUGAUUGAAACUCACGUUUCGUGAGGGGGAUCUUGUAGUUUAUGACGAUUGUCUUUGAAUGCUUAUUCCCUUUCCGUUUCAGAGUACAGGUAUAUUCCUUUGUUUCAUUGACAUGAACAUGGCUUGUAAGUAGAAGGUGACAGUCACCCUUUUCUGUUUUACUAAAGACUGAGUCAUUUCUCUUCUCAUAGGGAUUUUCAGAGCUCCCCAACAGGGCCUCUGUGGUACGGAAUUCACACUGAAAGGAAGGUGACCCAGGACAUGGUGGAUACCGGCAUUCCAACCUGAGGAUCUUCUCUACAGUGAUGCAGGCAGUAAGGGUUCCAAAAUCCCCUUGUUUCUCUGAAUGGGUGACUGAAAGACAAACAUCAUACACAUGCUUCGACCCAAGGAUUGCCAUUCUUGAAAUCCUGUGGGAUGUUAACAUCAAAGACUGACAAAGUUUCCAAACAUCACUUCAAUAUUUUCAGAUCUUGCCGCUCUUCUAACGUCGAGUGGAUUCUCCAAGACAUUCUCCACAUUGGCUUCUGCCUGAUGAUACCUGUUGUCGCUGCAGCCUA
ensembl:lncRNA